rnacentral:rRNA from 1 species
UACGGGGGGAGCAAGCGUUGUUCGGAAUUAUUGGGCGUAAAGAGCUUGUAGGCGGUUUGUCGCGUCUGCUGUGAAAAUCCGGGGCUCAACCCCGGACUUGCAGUGGGUACGGGCAGACUAGAGUGUGGUAGGGGAGACUGGAAUUCCUGGUGUAGCGGUGAAAUGCGCAGAUAUCAGGAGGAACACCGAUGGCGAAGGCAGGUCUCUGGGCCACUACUGACGCUGAGAAGCGAAAGCAUGGGGAGCGAACAGG